CUUGGUUCAGGAAAGCUUGGUUCUCAACCUUAAACUCUGCCUCCAAACCUCAGACCUUUCUAGCUUUGGAUCUCUCACCACCGCCUCAGGAGCUCGUCCAAGAACAAUUGCUCUCCCUCAACAGAACUCUGCUGUCCGCGCGACCAGUUCCCAAGGCGCAGUGCAUGCCGCCGUCUUAGGGAGGUUAAUUCACCGAGAACCUGGCCGUGGAGUUGAGCACUCGCUCAGGACACACCGCUCUGCACAAACACAGCUCGACCAGAAGAAAAGGCAAGCAACACACCUCUUCCCGUCUCCCCGAAAGUAGCGACGCUCUCUUCUACAACCGCUAGAUUCAUUCGAGAAAAGAUCGCAGGCAGAGGUUUUAUUUGAAGAUAAUUUUAGCUAUCCAUUAGAACCCACUUGUUCCAAGCUGGUUCUCUCAGAAUUUAUAGCGGUCAGCAUCAAGACUUUGCUCUAUCGCUGUCCAAGAGAAAGGGGGGGGGGAUCCUAGUGGUAAGGAGAAAUGGAGAGUAGAGUAUUGCUCCUUCACUCCUUCCCUGGUUCUUGCAAGGUGGAAUGCAAAGUCCAAGCGCCCUCCUCACCCUACCCGCCCCCACCCCCUACCGCAGCCAGCUCUUGUCAGGACAUUUGACUCACAGGCACUAAAAGAGGCGAUUUAAUAGUUCCCCUCUUCCUUGCCUUCCAUUAAAGUGUCUGAUAAGCAACCCGCAGUGUAGUUCAGCAAGGUUCCAGGUUCAAAACCUGAAAAUUCCUUGGAGUUGUGUGCCUUUGGUCCACACCCAGGAGCGCCAGAAUUGCACCCACCAGCUGAGGCCGAGAGAAGCUGCAGGGCGAAGGGAGGCCAGAAAGGAUGGAGAGUCUGGGGGGCUGCAUACUAGAUAGAUUGUACCUGCCUCAUCAUUAUCCUGGCUGACGGGGGCUGCCACAUCGAAAAUGGCCUGCAGCACCCACAGAGGCCCAAGGACGUCACCUCCAACGGUCCCAGAGAAGGGCUGAGUCCUCCUUCAAAGGUUCCCCUCCUGCCAAAAUAUCUCCUUCUUCCUCCGGAUCCGAUCGGGCGACCGAGUUUCCCCCUCACCCUGCCACACAGCACUUUGAAGAUGCGGUGCACUGGCUGGCUGCCUCCGUUUGCCAGACCCGGGCGACGGCAGGAAGAGAGCAUUGUUUCCAACUCAAGGGUGCAGGAGGGUCUGUCUCCGCCUGCAAUCAACAGGCCUUGUAAUAUGAGAGGUGACACCUUAAUCUUGCCAAAUAUGUGCUGUGUCUGGGGUGGGGGGCAGGGAGAGAACCAGGCAAGAGCAGGGGGCCGAAGAUGCACUUUCCUCAGAGAACUGACCCACACCCCUCAACUCCCACCCUGGUAGAGAAGGGUCCUCCUUUUCUUUUUGCAAGACCUACUUGAGGAUUUUCUUCCUCCAGAACGCAGUCAAACUUCUCCUUCCUUGUUUCUUUCCACAGAAGAACUAAAGGUUCUCCCUUCCCUUAGUAGGUGCAAAGGCAUCUUGAACUUCAGAGGAGCUCAGAGGCUGCUAGGCAGAAAAGAGGCAGAAAGGUUCACUUGUUUACAGGCAGGAUAAAAGCCCGUCAGAGUCAUGGUGACUUCUGGGCAAACCCAAGUUUCUAAAUAGAGAGUGAAGUGUUUAUCGAAAGGCCAGCGCUAAGAGUCCUGAGGGUAACGAGAGUUAAGAGAAGACCCCAGGAAGCAAUGGAGUCCUUAGACAGCUGGGUCUUUGCUAGCUAGGUAGAGGCCUCUCUAAGCAGAGUCCCUGGUUUUGGCCACCGAUCUGAUGACAGCACCUUUGGGUCAAUGGACUUGCUCUUUCUCCCGGUUGCAUCUGCAGCUCCGAUUCCCGAAAGCAGUUUGUGAGAGCAGGGGCCAGGUCCAGUUUCGAAAACCCCCUUUAAACUCUCUCCCAAGGCGAAUUCCUAGAGCUUGCCUUUGGUCUACCCUUAUCUUUUGUAAUAGCGCCACAGUGUGGUUGA